rnacentral:rRNA from 1 species
ACGGCAGCACGGACUUCGGUCUGGUGGCGAGUGGCGAACGGGUGAGUAAUAUAUCGGAACAUACCCUAGAGUGGGGGAUAACGUAGCGAAAGUUACGCUAAUACCGCAUACGAACUAAGGUUGAAAGUGGGGGAUCGCAAGACCUCAUGCUCAUGGAGUGGCCGAUAUCUGAUUAGCUAGUUGGUGAGGUAAAGGCUCACCAAGGCGACGAUCAGUAGCUGGUUUGAGAGAACGACCAGCCACACUGGAACUGAGACACGGUCCAGACUCCUACGGGAGGCAGCAGUGGGGAAUUUUGGACAAUGGGCGCAAGCCUGAUCCAGCAAUGCCGCGUGAGUGAAGAAGGCCUUCGGGUUGUAAAGCUCUUUUGUCAGGGAAGAAACGGUUGUGGCUAAUAUCCAUGGCUAAUGACGGUACCUGAAGAAUAAGCACCGGCUAACUACGUGCCAGCAGCCGCGGUAAUACGUAGGGUGCAAGCGUUAAUCGGAAUUACUGGGCGUAAAGCGUGCGCAGGCGGUUAUAUAAGUCAGAUGUGAAAUCCCCGGGCUCAACCUGGGAACUGCAUUUGAGACUGUAUGGCUAGAGUGUGUCAGAGGGGGGUAGAAUUCCACGUGUAGCAGUGAAAUGCGUAGAUAUGUGGAGGAAUACCGAUGGCGAAGGCAGCCCCCUGGGAUAACACUGACGCUCAUGCACGAAAGCGUGGGGAGCAAACAGGAUUAGAUACCCUGNNAGUCCACGCCCUAAACGAUGUCUACUAGUUGCCGGGACUUAAUUGUCUUGGUAACGCAGCUAACGCGAUAAGUAGACCGCCUGGGGGAGUACGGUCGCAAGACUAAAACUCAAAUGAAUUGACGGGGGCCCGCACAAGCGGUGGAGCAUGUGGUUUAAUUCGAUGCAACG